GUAUUAUUCUUCAGUUGUUUUGUGAGUGCUGCACUCCAGAUCGGAAGUUUUCCGUUGUAUUUUUCGGAAAAACUUACAUGCAAUGGAAAUCGCUAUCCAGCAAAACAUAACGCCUUAACGGAAAUCAGAACAUAUCGUGCCAUUCGUGUUCUGGAUAAUACGGUAAUAUGUCGCAAUAAACUUUCGCGUUGAAUUCUUGCCUUAAAUAUUCGUUGAAUAACUAGUUCCUAUGAAAUAUACUGAUUGCUUGAAACCGUUCAACAUUCUAAAAAUACUCGUAAAAUUGUCAAAUACUUGUAAAGUGAGCAGUGGCGUGCGGAGUACUAUUUUUCUGGGGGGGGGGGCAGUGGGCUACCAACAAAUAUGCGCCCCUAUAAUGUUUCGCCUGAUAAACGAGGGCCGAAGGCACGAGCCGAGCGCCGCAGGUGCGAAGUUUGUUUAGGGGGGUCCGGGGAAAAUUUUUGAAUUUAGAGUCUCUGAAAUGCCAUUUCCUGGACUUUGGGGGAAGAUUUGACAGAAAUCUGAUGGUCAGGAAACGGCACUAUAACGUGUCGAAAUUUGCAAUUUGGUAUGAAUUUAGUAGUAUUAGUAGUAGUAGUACUUAUAUUAUGCAAUGCUAACAACUUCCAGCGAUUAAUCUAAUCCCAAUUCUAUUCUCUACUGAUCUAGUGAUCUGAAUACAAUUACAACAUAAAGCUCUUUUAUACAAUAACACACGAACCCCACGCAUAUGCAUUUUAAGGUUUCCCUGCCUUGCUGCUAAAAGGGCGCGUUUCAGCAUUAUUUCAUUACUCACAUUACUCAUGAUGUUUCUAGCGCAAACAACUAAAUUGCGUACACAACUUUACAUUAUCAUAACUUAAACUAUCUAAUUUGCGCCGCUCUUGUGAUUCAUGAAGCAUAAUAAAGGGCAUAAUACCAGAAAAAAAGGGCAUGAUUCCCGUGAUCGCUUCGAAACCUGGCCUAUUUUUCGGUGAUGAGACAUUGCGUGUGAUCACAGUUCACGUUUCUAUAUGAACGAUUUUGUGUGAGCCGUGAGGUAGCAAAUUAGCAAAUACGGUUAGACAAAAUAGUCUGUAUAAUUUAAUAUAUCACUUUGUCGCCUAUGCGCUUAGUCUGUUUAUAAGCCUAUAAACAGUGGCGGAAAUCUUGGUGGGGGGC